rnacentral:rRNA from 1 species
GGCUCAGAUUGAACGCUGGCGGCGUGCUUAACACAUGCAAGUCGCGCGUGAAAGGACUUCGGUCCGAGUAAAGCGGCGCACGGGUGAGUAACGCGUGGAUGAUCUACCCAUGAGUUAGGAAUAACGGCUGGAAACGGUCGCUAAUACCAAAUACGCUCCGAUUUCAUCUCGGGGGAAAGUGCCUCUGCUUGCAAGCUACUGCUCAUGGAUGAGUCCGCGUCCCAUUAGCUAGUUGGUGGGGUAACGCCCACCAAGGCGACGAUGGGUAGCCGGUCUGAGAGGAUGACCGGCCACACUGGGACUGGAACACGGCCCAGACUCCUACGGGAGGCAGCAGUGGGGAAUAUUGCGCCAAUGGGCGAAAGCCUGACGCAGCGACGCCGCGUGAAGGGAUGAAGGUCCUCGGAUCGUAAACCUCUGUCAGGAGGGAAGAACCGCCACGGUGCUAAUCAGCCGUGGUCUGACGGUACCUCCAAAGGAAGCACCGGCUAACUCCGUGCCAGCAGCGGC